GGGCUCGUGGCCAAAUGGCAAGGCGCUUGACUACGAUUCCGUGUACAAUCAAGAGAUUCCAGGGUAAAGUCCAAGCAUUCCUCGAGUUGCAUUGACACUAAUAAUCGUUCUAGUUCGAUCCCUGGCGGGCUCG